rnacentral:rRNA from 1 species
GCAGUCGCCGCGGUAAUACGAAGGGGGCUAGCGUUGCUCGGAAUUACUGGGCGUAAAGGGAGCGUAGGCGGACUGUUUAGUCAGAGGUGAAAGCCCAGGGCUCAACCUUGGAAUUGCCUUUGAUACUGGCAGUCUUGAGUACGGAAGAGGUAUGUGGAACUCCGAGUGUAGAGGUGAAAUUCGUAGAUAUUCGGGAGAACACCAGUGGCGAAGGCGACAUACUGGUCCGUUACUGACGCUGAGGCUCGAAAGCGUGGGGAGCAAACAGGAUUAGAUACCCCCGUAGUCCCUGUCUCUUAUAC